ACAUAACAUAACAACCCCAACUCCUUUAACAAUACUACCCCACACAAUGACCCACAUCACAAUAAGCAAAACCACCGUUAAUUAAUGUUAAUUAACAUUUAAACAUGACCAUUGCCACCAAGGGCAUGAUUUUCCAGCUUUCUUCCAUGUAGGGGUAUACCGAGAUAUACCCAACACACACCAGGUUCGGAGCGACCAACGAGCUCGAACCUACC